rnacentral:lncRNA from 1 species
AUAUAAUCUUUAUCCUCAUCUGAUUGAGUUUGAUUCAAUUUCACUCCACUUGAAGCUGAUCUUAUCCUUGCUUAGAUGGCAAAAUCUAUCUUAUCUCCCCAUCGCCUCGGAUUACAGGUUUGGUCAAGGUUGUAGCCUCCCAGUAUAAAAAAUCCUUUAAUUCAACCUUUUUUCUUCCUUUUCUCGACUUCUGCUCACAAACCUGUCCAAAAUCAAAUUCAAAUUAAAAUUAAAUAUUUAUAUCAAAAUUAGAGUAAAAUCAAGGAAUUAAAUGAGGAAAAAAUUGUGAGUUUUUGCAACUCAUCAGAUUCCCCCACACUUGCACCUUUGCUUGUCCUCAAGCACAGAAAUUAAAAUGAACAAUAAAAU